rnacentral:rRNA from 1 species
ACGUACGCUGGCGGCACGCCUAACACAUGCAAGUCGAACGCAGUAGCAAUACUGAGUGGCAGACGGGUGAGUAACAUGUGGGAAUCUGCCUUGUGGUUCAGGACAACAUUGGGAAACCGAUGCUAAUACUGGAUAAGCCCUUACGGGGAAAGUUUUAACGCCGAAAGAUGAGCCUGCACUUGAUUAGCUAGUUGGUAAGGUAAAAGCUUACCAAGGCAACGAUCAAUAGCUGUUCUUAGAGGAAGACCAGCCACAUUGGGACUGAGACACGGCCCAGACUCCUACGGGAGGCAGCAGUGGGGAAUCUUAG